GAGGAGACGCGCAGGAUCUUCCGUCAGAUCGUCUCGGCGCUGGACUACAUCCACAGCCAGGGAUACGCCCACCGUGACCUUAAGCCAGAAAACAUGAUGCUGGAUGAAAAGAACAACAUCAAGCUCAUCGACUUUGGUCUCUGUGCCAAACCAGAGGGUGGAUUGGGUACUGCUCUGAUUGAGGGCUGUGGAACCCCUCCCUACUUGGCCCCAGAAAUCAUUAAUGCGCAACCCUAUCAUGGUGCAGAGGCAGAUGUUUGGAGCUUGGGUGUUGUCCUAUAUGUCAUGCUGUGUGGCUACCUCCCGU